UACGGAGGGUGCAAGCGUUGUCCGGAAUCACUGGGCGUAAAGGGCGCGUAGGCGGCUCAUGAAGGCUGUGGUGAAAGUCCGGGGCUCAACCUCGGAUCGGCCGUGGCGACUCGUGGGCUGGAGCACUGUAGAGGCGGGUGGAAGUCCGGGUGUAGCGGUGGAAUGCGUAGAGAUCCGGAAGAACACCAGUGGCGAAGGCGGCCCGCUGGGCAGUGGCUGACGCUGAGGCGCGACAGCGUGGGGAGCAAACAGG
rnacentral:rRNA from 1 species